GUGGCUUGGGUCACCCAUCUCAUAGCAAACAGAGGGACCUGCUCUCUGGCCUGUAAAGGACACUGGUUCAGGGGGCUCCUGCCCGCUGUCCGUAAGACGGAACAGAGUCCAUCGUGGCUGGACAGCAGCAGCAGCAGCUCCAGUCUGGGACUCUUCACAGAAGACAGAGGAAAGUGCCAACAGUACAGAGAAGUCAGAAUGCAGAGUUGCCAUGGAAAUAGAAAGACCCUUGAACACAUGGAACACAGAAUGGAGUGAAAGAUGAGCUGGGGACAGUCCAUGCAGGUUAUGGAAAUAGAAUACUUCAAACAUUCAUGGGAAAGCACAUUAGAGAACCUCCCAACCACUACUGGAGAUAUAUUCAAAGGAAAUGAAAUUUGUAUAAGAGAUAACUACACUUCCAUCUAUAUAGCAACUAAAUUCACAAGAGCAAAGAUAGGCAAUCAGCUUAGGUGUCCACCAUAUGGUGAACUGAUAAAGAAAAUGUGGUAACAAGAUUUAGGGUAUCUUUACAUUCAUGCUCAUCAUUCACUGGCCAUGAUGAAUAAAUGGAAGAGACAUGAGAAAAUCCUCCUGGUAGGGAAGGCGACUGAAGGAGGCUUUGCCAUGGAUGUAGCUAAUGUUGAAAGCAAACACACACCAACUCCAUGAGAUGAGAUACAUUCUACACCAGGUGGGAGAUAGACAGGCACUACUU